AGAGAGAAUAUGUAAUUUGGUAAAAAAACCCAUCUUCUUGCCUAUAAAUAGACCCAAAUAAUGUGAGGUUCCAUACUCCAAAAUCCACAUCUAGCAGCAAAUUAUGGAAUCCCAUGAUGAAGAGCAUGCUGCCAAACUACUUAGAGCUCAAACCCACAUAUGGAAUCACAUAUUUAGCUUCAUAAACUCCAUGUCCCUUAAAUGUGUGGUUGACUUAGGCAUACCAGAUAUCAUACACAACUAUGGCCAACCCAUGCCACUCUCAAACCUCAUUGCUUCACUACCAAUCCACCCAUCCAAAACUUGCUUCGUCCAUCGCUUGAUGCGAAUCAUGAUCCAUUCUGGCUUCUUCUCUUUACAAAAUCAUGACUUGGAGAAUGAGCUAGAAGCCAAGUAUGUGCUAACCGAUGCAUCUGUACUACUGCUUAAGAACCAUCCGAUGAGUGUGACACCUUUCUUGCAUGCCAUNNNNNNNNNNNNNNNNNNNNNNNNNNNNNNNNNNNNNNNNNNNNNNNNNNNNNNNNNNNNNNNNNNNNNNNNNNNNNNNNNNNNNNNNNNNNNNNNNNNNNNNNNNNNNNNNNNNNNNNNNNNNNNNNNUCACUUGUUCAAUGAUGCCAUGGCAAGUGAUGCUCGAUUUGUCACUAGUUUGGUGAUUGAGAAAUGUAAGGGAGUGUUCAUGGGAUGGAGUCAUUGGUUGAUGUUGGGGGAGGCACAGGGACCAUGGCAAAAGCCAUUGCUAAAUCAUUCCCUCGGGUGGAAUGCAUUGUGUUUGAUCUACCACAUGUUGUUUCUGGCUUGAAAGGAAGUGAGAACCUUAAAUAUGUUGCAGGGGACAUGUUUGAGGCAAUUCCUCCAGCUGAUGCCAUUUUGUUAAAGGUAAAUCACUAUUCACAUUCAGAAUACAAUUUUACAUUCAUACCAUUAACACCCAGUUUUUAUACUUGAGUGAUGUCAAAUUUUAAAGAAUUAAAGCAAAUAAUUGAUCGAUUGGAAAAAAAAAUGAACGAUUUUAUGAUCAUUGAUCACUUGAAAUAACUUCAAAUAUAUAUAUGUAUAUUGUUCACUAAGCUAGUAAGCUAGCACCAGCUAGUAGUCCAACUACAUAUCUGCCACUAUCAUACCAAAUCAGACCAACUAAGUGGUCUAUAUGGCUUGUAAUAAUUAGUACUAGUUUACUAAGUGGGUACGUAAAGUAACUAGCAUAUGAUUAUUUGAAAAGUAAAUCUCUGCUCAUAUUCUAGAAAAAAUAGUUAUAGAUCUCUUCAAAUUUGACUUUUCUUUUUUCUGAAGUAUUGACUAUAUGUUGCGGUUAAAAACAUUACAUGAUGUGCCAAUUCAUUCUACCAAGCUUAAUAUGAAUGCAAGUCAAUAUUUUAUGAUUCUGAUCGGUGUGUUACUUUGAAUGACAAAGCAGUGGAUAUUGCAUGACUGGAAUGAUGAGGAGUGUGUGGACAUAUUGAAGAAAUGCAAAGAGGCCAUAACGAGGAAAGGCAAAGAAGGGAAGGUGAUCAUCAUAGACAUGGUGGUGGAGAAUGAGAAGAGAGAUGAUGAAUCAGUUGAAACACAGCUCUUCUUUGAUAUGCUGAUGAUGGUGUUGGUCACUGGAAAAGAGAGAAGCAAGAAAGAAUGGGCUAAGUUGAUUUCCUCUGCUGGUUAUAACAACUACAAGAUAACUCCAGUCUUGGGCUUAAGGUCUCUCAUUGAGAUCUAUCCAUAGUAAGUUAAUGAGAUGUGCCAGCACUCUAUCAUUCAUAUAUGUUAGGGCUAUAAUUUUUCUGUUUCGAUUCAUGAGUGAAUGUUGGAUAAGUAACAAUAGCAAUAGACUGAACUCUCUUCAUCAUAGUUGUGUUGUUGGAACAGUACUGUCAAGAAAGGAAAAAAAAAAAAUCUGAGGAUAAGUAUAGUUUGCGUGGUAUAUAUAGCAGGUGAAGAAAAAAAGGAACAUGUGGUUAAAGAGCACAGUGAGUUUGGCAAUUACUUUUUUUUUUGGUAACUGAAUUUGCCUUGUAUUAGAUUUGUGAAGAACUAAGUUUGUGAGAGUUGUUAUUGAAUAAGAUUGUUUCUAAAGGUUUGAUAAAGGUAUAAUGGUUUAUCUAAAUACAUUUCAAUAUUUUAGUAUUUUAAUUAAGUUCAUAAUGAUGUGAUUAUGUGUCAUGUCAAUAAAGAUAUAUCAUUAAUCUCAUCUUAAUAAUAGUGUCAUGCAAACAAUGAAAUUAAUGAGACUAAAAUAAAAUAAAAAGAAUUUUAUGGAGACAUAAAAUAGAUAAAAUAAAUAUUACAGAAACUAAAAAUGAAAAGAAAUUAUAAGAAUAAAAAAAAAAGAAUUUGCUUAUAUCUUCAAAGGUCACUUUAAGUUGUUUAUAUUUUUUAUUUUAAAUAUUGGGUUGCACCAAAGAAAUGAUCAUUAUAUUCAUGUUAAGAAUAAAUAAAGCAAAACAUAAUGACCAAAAAAUAUAGCAAAUUAAAUCCUAUAAUUUUUCUUUUGGAUGAAGUAUGAAUAUAAAAAGUAAGAGACAACAAAGUUUAAGACAUCACGAAAGAAUUUUUCAUAAAUUUCUCUAUAAUGACUUUAGGAUAAAAAUCUCAUCUUUGACUUCAAAACACUUGAACACAUAUCCUAAUUAGCUAAAGUAUCAAUCACAUGAUUAGAAUCAUGUGACAUAAUUGCAACUAACAAAGUUCAAAUGUUUCUUACUAAUGCUAUUAAAUAAAAUAAGAUUAAUUGAAAUUUAUUUGUAUUUGAAGUCAAGACUGUUAACUCGUUGACAAGUGUACCAAAUUUGUCACAAGUAAUAAAGUACUCGGAAGUCCGAGUGUCGAAUCCACUGGGAUUUUGUGUUGUACUUAUCUUGGAUACUUUUCAAUUUAUAAGGAAUUAAAAGAAAAAGUAGAAGGCAAUAAUAGUAAAUUAUAAAUAGAAAGCAAAAGAAUUAAAAGCAAAAUAAUUAAAGAGAGAAUUCAAUGGAAUGCGAAUGUUAGGACCUAGCAUGCCUUGUUUGCCUAGGAUGUAUGAAUUUAUGAUUUUUCUUCACCAAUUUAGGUGAUUCUAUUCUACCCACAUCUGUUCAUUUACUUGCCCCUGAUUCCUCACGAUGACAAGUCUAUUUUAUUCAUUUAUCUCCCAAAUUCCUUUGUAAAAACUCAACAAAUAAAAUGCAUGAAGUAUGAAUUCUAGAUGUUUGCAAGAAUGCAUGGGCAUAAAAUUAUCAUUCUAUUCCUAGCAAUGACUUUCUUAUGAAAUCCUUUCUUUUUGUUCUAUUAGAAGUUACCUUCUUCCGAGUGUCUAACCCCUAAAACUAAUGCAUGCAUACCUUCUUUAAAUCUUGUUUAGAAGUUACCAUCUCCCGAGUGUCUAACCCCUAAAAGAAUAUAAAGAUGAAUAAUGCAAGAUAAAAACAGAAAAGAUAAUAGAAUAGAAAAACCUGGAAAAUAAUCCUGUUGCAUUGAUAAAUAUGAAGUACAUCAUACAUUUCUUUGACUUUUUAGGCCUACCAGGCCCUAACUAGGAGUUUAGUCACUCAUGGCCAUUGAGGGCUUUACAAUGAGAAGGGGGUGAAAAAAAGAUGAUAAAAAAAAGGAAGAGAGUAAAAAUUCUCAGGCUUUGAGUAGUAGUGAGAGUGCUCUCUGAGACUUGGUGUUUUCCUCCUUGGCCUGACUCUCUAUCUAUAGCUGAUGAAGUGGACUUGGGCUUGAUUCAAACAAUCUUCCUUAUCUAUCUUUUUUAUAUCUUUUGGAUCUUGUAAAUCUUAUCUUUCCUAUAUCUGCAAGUCAUAGAUAAGAAAAUAUCAAUUCAUAUCUUUUAAGUCAAAAUUAACUGCUAAAUAAAUAUCUUUAAAGAUAUUUUCAAAUUAGCUCAUAUUUAACAGUUAUCAAUAUCUUUUAGAUCUUGUAAUCUUAUCUUUUUAUAUCUGCAAGCCAUAAAUAAUAAAAGUAUCAAUUCUUAUCAUUUAAGCAAAAAAAUAACUGUUAAAUAAAUAUUUUCAAAGAUAUUUUCAAUAUAUUUUUAUUAUGAAAUAACUCAUAUUUAACAGUUAUCAAAGACACAGAUAUAUUUUUUUGCUUGCAUUCGAAAUCAAAGAAAGCAAGUACAUCUAAGCGCUUAAUGAAGAUGGUUGGAGGUAGACAGAGGUGAAUUCACAUAUAAGCUUGUUUCCCCAGUAUGAAUUUUUAUACUUGAAUAUAAUACUCCUAUUCAUGUGGGCAUAGAUGCAAAAGUUUGAGAUGAGGAAGGUCACAAGCUUGGAUAGGUUUGGAAGAUAAAUGGUUUGUGAGAAUAUAUAAAUGCUAAAUUAAAACAUAUUAUUGGAAGACAGUUGAAGGAUUGACGUCGGAGUAGUUAGUGCAGUGGAAAUAAAUGCCAUUAUUGGAGGACGGUUGAAAGAUUAGCGUAGGUGGGGCUAGUUAUUUCGGUGGGAAUAAAUGCUAAAUUAAAACAUAUUAUUGGUGGAAAUUUGGGAUGGAAAUGAGUCACGCCGCUUGUCAAGGGCCUUUUGCUCGACCUAUUUAAGACUUGGUUUGACUUGACUUGUUUAUUAUAAAGGUCAAACUUAAGCUUUUUAAAAAGCUAUUUUAGAUAAAAAUGACAAAGGCAAAUUAUAAAAAAUAAACUUGUUAAGCUUGACAAACCGGCUUGUUAAGCUUGACAAACUGGCUUAUUUAAGUAAUAAUAAUAAUAAUAACUAUUAUCUAUACCAUUUUUAUGGAAUUAUGAAUGACAGGCUGAAGCGACAUAAGGUGCUUAGAGAAUUCACUUGCAUGUGAAAAAUUUUCAAAAGAAAAGAUUCAAGUUAAAGGAUCAAGAAAUCAGAUGAAUACUUCAAAUGAAAAGAAUGUUUUGUAAAAUAUUGUCAGACAAUGUAAAUAGUUUUAUUUGACUAUAGUAAUAUAAAUCAUCGUUAAUCCAAUAUAUUGUUUAAUAUUAUGCUCUCUUUUUUUUCAUUUUCUUGUGAUAUACUUUGUGUUUUAACAACUUGAAUUUAAUAUGAUUUUGUUUAUCAAUUAUUUUUGGAUUUGUACAUUACUUAUAUGAAAUUUUAUAAGUUUUUUUUAGUUAAUAUUUCACUAGGUUUUAGAACAAUUAAUUGGUCAAAGACGUCUUUAAGCAGAUUUUUAAAUAGGCUCGUAGGUAAAAUCAGACUUCAAUGUGAGUCGAGCCGAGCCUUAAAAAAAAUUCUAUGAUAGGUAAUGAGACAAGCUCAAGUCUUGCUUAUUCAACUCAAGCCGAGCUCAAGCCUAAUAAAGCUUGAUUUGCCUUGACUCAUUUUCACUCCUAGUGAGAAUAGGGGUCAACUUCUAAUUUUACUAUAGGCACUUUAAUUAAUAGGGGUGGGUAAGCGGGUUGGCCCGCCCCGCGUAAGGCUAGUCCGCAUAAGCCCGCAUUGGCAGUGGAUCGGGUCAGCCCGCCCCGCAUUCUUACACUGACCAAAUAUAUUGGUCCGCCCCCGCCCCGCGAACCCCGCGAGUCAAACGGGCCAGUCCGUGGGCCUUGUUUUAAAAGAAUUUCAAUUUCAAUAAAAAUGCAACACAAUCAAAUUAAGUUCAAUACAAAUGUAAAUAAAAUCUUAACAAUUAGUCAAUUACAUCAAUAAAAUAAAUAAUGUCUUACAAAAGAAAAUCCAAGCAAUAAAUUUAAAAUAUGAAACUUAAACAUCUCUAACAACAAAUGAUUCUACAUUUAAAGUAAUAUAAUCCUAAUGCGGGCAAUUCGCAGACCCCGUGGGCCAAACUCGCAUAUUCUGCGGGUUAAGUGGGGCGGAUCCAAAAAUAUGACAUCAUCAUGGACCGUUUAAAAAAAUUGAUCCAUUAUCCGCGCGAACCACGGAACCCGGGGGCCAGUCGAUGGACCUGGGCCUGUUUACCCACCCUUAUUAAUUAGCAAGCUAUUAUAUUAUAUUGGUGGAUUAGGACAUCUAUAGUCCAAGGAAUAUAAAAUUUACCUGACUCUUUGUAACUAUGCAUGUGAUCUAUCUAAUGAAUUCCACCUCCUUUUUAUACAUCAUACACAUGCAAUGUUAAUCACUAUGAUAUAAAACAUUUAAAUUAUAUAUUAUUAUUACUAUGAUUUUUUUAAGAUAGAUAUAUUCAAAAUUAAAAAAAUUAUUAUAUUGGAUGGAUAAUGAUUUAAUAAUAUAGUAAAAUUAUUUUAUACUUGUUGGUGUAUAAUCAUUUUUUCUACAAAUAAAUAAAAAUAAUUAUAAUAUAAAACAUUAAUAUACCAUAAAAAUUAAAUAUUAAAAAAGAAAUGUAAAUAAUCAAUUAAAAUAUAUAAAAUUUAUAACAAUUUAUUCAUAUUUGAGAAAUUUUAAAAAUAUGUAUAUAAAUUAUUUUUCAAAUAAAUAUAUUAUUAAUAUACAUAAUUCAAACUAUGAAAAAUAUAUUAUUGAAAUAUUUAAAACACCAAAUACAUUUUAAAAAUUUGAUUUAAAUAAUAUUAAAAUUAAAACAUAACAAUCUCAAAAAAUAUUUUUAUAAAUCAGUCUUUUGUUGGAGAUAAGAAAAUACACUUUAGUUUUUAAUUCUAAAUAUUUAAUAUUGUAUUUGUUUUUUUCCAUACUGUAAUAUAUAAAAAAAUGUAUAAUCUAUUUAAGUUUUAGUAUUUUAUAGUGAAUUUCAAUUUGUUAGUUCUUUACAUAUUAAUUUUCUUUUUCAAAUUUUGUAGUAUCAUAUAUUACCUUUUUAAUAUUUGAAAGACUUGUAAUAUCAAAUAAAAUAAUAUUGCAAUUAAUGUAUAUAUUAACAUAUAAAAAUGAAUAGCAUAGAUAAAAAAAAAAUCAAGUAUGAUCGACAAUGAAAGUUUAAUCAUUGAAAAAGUUGCAUGAUGUCUUCUCGGGUACACCACUCUACUUCUAUAAGUGGUGCAUUGAUUUACUAGAUAAGUUUUUUUUAAGGAAUCCAUUAAAUGUAUUUUUCUCCAAUCCUGAUAUUAUUACAAAGUUGUUUUCACGUGGUGAUUAAUUUUCAAGAUGAUGAGCACAUACAAGAUAAUUUUCAGGAUCAAGAGCACAUACAAAAUAGCUUAUAAGAUUUUAAGUUACACUACAUACAAUUUGGUCAAAUUUUCUUAUAUUGUAAAAAGUUAUAGAUAAAAGUGAUGAUAAUUGUUGUCACCACUACUGAAGAAAGAAGAUUCUAAAUUGGUUAUUUGGAGCAUUCUACAUUGGUUGAGGAUCGUCGUAGUAGACCACAUCGUCAAAAGGGAAACCUAAUCUAGGACGGUCGCAAAGACUAUCUUAAAAAAUGUGUGUUUCUAAUUGCAGUCCCAAACUUUCCAAAAUUUAAUAUAGUGGUCAAAAUCAUGAUCAUUAACUAUUUUUUAAAACGUAGCUACAGAGAAUAAAGUUGUUGCUUAAACAUCUUCACGCCUAUAAAUAGACCCAAAUAAUGUGAGGUUCCAUACUUCAAAAUCCAAAUCUAGCGAUUAAUUAUAGUUUAGGCAGCAAAUUAUGGAUUCCCAUGAUGAGGAGCAUGCUGCCAAACUACUUAGAGCUCAAACCCACAUAUGGAAUCACAUAUUUAGCUUCAUAAACUCCAUGUCCCUUAAAUGUGUGGUUGACUUAGGCAUACCAGAUAUCAUACACAACUAUGGCCAACCCAUGCCACUCUCAAACCUCAUUGCUUCACUACCAAUCCACCCAUCCAAAACUUGCUUUGUCCAUCGCUUGAUGCGAAUCAUGAUCCAUUCUGGCUUCUUCUCUCAACAAAAUCAUGACAUGGAGAAUCAGCUAGAUGCCAAGUAUGUGCUUACCGAUGCAUCUGUACUAUUGCUUAAGAACCAUCCGAUGAGUGUGACACCUUUCUUGCAUGCCAUGCUUGAUCCAAUUUUGACAAAUCCAUGGAAUCAAUUUUCUACUUGGUUCAAAAAUGGUGACACUACACCAUUUGAAACGGCACAUGGGAUGAUGCUUUGGGAUUACGCUGGCGCUGAUCCAAAACAUAAUAACUUGUUCAAUGAUGCCAUGGCAAGUGAUGCUCGAUUUGUCACUAGUUUGGUGAUUGAGAAAUGUAAGGGAAUGUUCAUGGGAUUGGAGUCAUUGGUUGAUGUUGGGGGAGGCACAGGGACCAUGGCAAAAGCCAUUGCUAAAUCAUUCCCUCGGGUGGAAUGCAUUGUGUUUGAUCUACCACAUGUUGUUUCUGGCUUGAAAGGAAGUGAAAACCUUAAAUAUGUUGCAGGGGACAUGUUUGAGGCAAUUCCUCCAGCUGAUGCCAUUCUGUUAAAGGUAAAUCACUAUUCACAUUCAGAAUACAAUUUUACAUUCAUACCAUUAACACCCAGUUUUUAUACUUGAGUGAUGUCAAAUUUUAAAGAAUUAAAGCAAAUAAUUGAUCGAUUGGAAAAAAAAAAUGAACGAUUUUAUCAUCAUUGAUCACUUGAAAUAACUUCAAAUUUUUAUAUGUAUAUUGAUCACUAAGCUAGUAAGCUAGCACCAGCUAGUAGUCCAACUACAUAUCUGCCACUAUCAUACCAAAUCAGACCAACUGAGUGGUCUAUAUGGCUUGUAAUAAUUAGGACUAGUUUAUUAAGUGGUUACGUAAAGUAGCUAGCAUAUGAUUAUUUGACAAGUAAAUCUCUGCUCAUAUUCUAGAAAAAAUAGUUAUAGAUCUCUUCAAAUUUGACUUUUCUUUUUUCUGAAGUAUUGACUAUAUGUUGCGGUUAAAAACGUUACAUGAUGUGCCAAUUCAUUCUACCAAGCUUAAUAUGAAUGCAAGUCAAUAUUUAUUUCUUUUGUAUGAUUCUUAUCGGUGUGUUACUUUGAAUGACAAAGCAGUGGAUAUUGCAUGACUGGAAUGAUAAGGAGUGUGUGGACAUAUUGAAGAAAUGCAAAGAGGCGAUAACGAGGAAAGGCAAAGAAGGGAAGGUGAUCAUCAUAGACAUGGUGGUGGAGAAUGAGAAGAGAGAUGAUGAAUCAGUUGAAACACAGCUCUUCUUUGAUAUGCUGAUGAUGGUGUUGGUCACUGGAAAAGAGAGAAGCAAGAAAGAAUGGGCUAAGUUGAUUUCCUCUGCUGGUUAUAACAACUACAAGAUAACUCCAGUCUUGGGCUUAAGGUCUCUCAUUGAGAUCUAUCCAUAGUAAGUUAAUGAGAUGUGCCAGCACUCUAUCAUUCAUAUAUGUAAGGGCUAUAAUUUUUCUGUUUCGAUUCAUGAGUGAAUGUUGGAUAAGUAACAAUAGCAAUAGACUGAACUCUCUUCAUCAUAGUUGUGUUGUUGGAACAGUACUGUCAAGAAAGGAAAAAAAAAAAAUCUGAGGAUAAGUAUAGUUUGCGUGGUAUAUAUAGCAGGUGAAGAAGAAAAGGAACACGUGGUUAAAGAGCACAGUGAGAGUUUAGCAAUUACUCUUUUUUUGGUAACUGAAUUUGCCUUGUAUUAGAUUUGUGAAGAACUAAGUUUGUGAGAGUUGUAUUAAAUAAAAUAAGAUUAAUUGAAAUUUAUUUGUAAUUGAAGUCAAGACACAUAUAUAUUUUUUUGCUUGCAUUCGAAAUCAAAGAAAGCAAGUUCAUCUAAAAACUUAAUGAAAAUGGUUGGAGGUAGACAGCGGUGAAUGCACAUAUAAGCUUGUUCUCACAGUAUAAAUUUUUAUACUUGAAUAUAAUACUCCUAUUCAUGUGGGCAUAGAUGCAAAAGUUUGAGAUGAGGAAGGUCACAAGCUUGGAUAGGUUUGGAAGAUAAAUGAUUUGUGAUAAUAUAUAAAUGCUAAAUUAAAACGUAUUAUUGGAAGACAGUUGAAGGAUUGGCGUUAGUGUAGUUAGUGCGGUGGGAAUAAAUGCUAUUAUUGGAGGACGGUCAUACGUGGAGCUAGUUAUUGCGGUGGGAAUAAAUGCUAAAUUAAAACAUAUUAUUGGAAGGCAGAUUGACUCGUAGAAGUUAUUGUUGUGGGAAUAAAUGCUAUUAUUGGAGGACGGUUGAAGAAUUGGUGUACGUGGGGUUAGUUAUUGCGGUGGGAAUAAAUGCUAAAUUAAAAUAUAUUAUUGAUAGACACUUGAAGGAUUGGCGUCAGAGUAGUUAGUGCGGUGGGAAUAAAUGUUAUUAUUCUCAUCUUAAUAAUAAUGUCAUGCCAACAAUGAAAUUAAUGAGACUAAAAUAAAAUAAAAAGAAUUUUAUGGAGACAUAAAAUACAUAAAAUAAAUAUUAUAGAAACUAAAAAUGAAAAGAAAUUAUAAGAAUUAAAAAAAAGAAUUUGCUUAUGUCUUCAAAGGUCACUUAAAGUUGUUUAUAUUUUUUAUUUUAAAUAUUGGGUUGCACAAAAGAAAUGAUCAUUGUAUUCAUGUUAAGAAUAAAUAAAGCAAAAUAUAAUGACCAAAAAUUAUACCAAAUUAAAUUCUAUUUUUUUUUCUUUUGGAUGAAGUAUGAAUAUAAAAUUAAGAGACAACAAAGUUUAAGACAUCACGAAAGAGUUUUUCAUAAAUUUCUCUAUAAUGACUUCAAGAUAAAAAUCUCAUCUUUGGCUUCAAAACACUUGAACACAUAUCCUAAUUAGCUAAAGUAUCAAUCAUAUGAUUAGAAUCAUGUGACAUAAUUGCAAGUAACAAAGUUCAAAUAUUUCUCACUAACGCUAUCAAAUAAAAUAAGAUUAAUUGAAAUUAAUUUGUAUUUGAAGUCAAGACACAUAUAUUUUUUUGCUUGCAUUCGAAAUUAAAGAAAGCAAGUUCAUCUAAACGCUUAAUGAAAAUGGUUGGAGGUAGACAGAGGUGAAUGCACAUAUAAGCUUGUUCUCACAGGAUAAAUUUUUAUACUUGAAUAUAAUACUCCUAUUCAUGUGGGCAUAGAUGCAAAAGUUUGAGAUGAGGAAGGUCACAAGCUUGGAUAGGUUUGGAAGAUAAAUGGUUUGUGAGAAUAUAUAAAUGUUAAAUUAAAACAUAUUAUUGAAAGACAGUUGAAGGAUUGGCAUCAGAGUAGUUAGUGCGGAGGGAAUAAAUGCUAUUAUUGGAGGACGGUUGAAGGAUUAGCGUAUGUGGGGCUAGUUAUUUCGGUGGGAAUAAAUGUUAAAUUAAAACAUAUUAUUGGUGGAAAUUUGGGAUGGAAAUGAGCCACGCCGCUUGUCAAGGGUCUUUGGCUCGACAUAUUUAAGACUUGGCUUGGCUUGGCUUGUUUACUAUAAAGGCCAAGCUCAAGCUUUGUAAAAAACUUUUUUAGAUGAAAAGGCCAAAGGCAAAUUAUAAAAAAAACUUCUUAAGCUUGACAAACCGUCUUGUUAAGCUUGACAAACUGGCUUGUUUAAGUAAUAAUAAUAAUAUUAAUAAUAAUAAAAACUAUUAUCUAUAUCAUUUUUAUAGAAUUAUGAAUGACAGGAUGAAGUGACAUAAAGUGCUUACAGAAUUCACUUGCAUGUGAAAAAAUUUUAAAAAGAAAAAGACUCAACUUAAAAGGAUAAAGCAAUCAGAUGAAUACUUCCAAAGAAAAGAAUGUUUUCUAAAAACAUUUUCAGACAAUUUAUAUAUUUUUAUUUGAUUAAAUUAAUAUAAAUCAUCUCUAAUCCAUAUAUUUUUUUAAUAUUAUGCUCUCUUUUUUUUCAUUUUCUUUUGAUAUACUUUGUGUUUUAACAACUUGAAUUCAAUAUGAUUUUGUUUAUCAAUUAUUUUUGGAUUUGUACAUUACUUAUACGAAAUUUUAUAAGUUUCUUUUUUUAGUUAAUAUUUCACUAGGUUUUAGAACAAUUAAUUGUUCAAAGACGUCUUUAAGCAGAUUUUUAAAUAGGCACGUAGGCGAAAUCAGGCUUUUAUGUGAGCCGAGCCGAGCCUUUAAAAAAAUCCUAUGACAGGUAAUGAGCCAAGCUCAAACCUUGCGUAUUCAACUCAAUUCGAGCUCAAGCCUAGUAAAGCUUAAUUUGGCUUAACUCAUUUUCACCCCUAAUGGGAAUAGGGGUCAACUUCUAAUUUUACUACAGGCACUUUAAUUAAUAGGGGUGGGUAAGUGGGCUGGCUCGCCCCGCAUAAGCCCGCAUUGGCAGUGGACCGGGCCAGCUCACCCCGCAUUCUUACACGGACCAAAUAAAUUGGUCCGCCCCCGCCCCGCGGAUCCUGCGGGUCAAACGGGCCAGUCCGUGGCCCUAGUUUUAAUAGAAUUUCAAUUUUAAUAAAAAAUACAACACAAUCAAAUUAAGUUCAAUAUAAAUGUAAAUAAAAUCUUAACAAUUAGUCAAUUACAUAAAUAAAAUAAAUAAUGCCUUAGCAAAAGAAAAUCCAAACAAUAAAUUUAAAAUAUGAAACUUAAACAUCUCUAACAACAAAUGAUUCCAUAUUUGAAGCAAUAAAAUCUUAAUGCGGGCAACCAGAAGAUCCCGCGGGCCAAACUCACAUAGUCUGCGGGUUAAGUGGGGCAGACCCAAAAAUAUGACAUAAUCAUGGACCAUUUUAAAAAAUUGAUCCGUUACCCAAGCGAAUCGCAAGCCCCGCGGACCAGUCAAUGAACCUAGGCCCGUUUACCCACUCCUAUUAAUUAGCAUGCUAUUAUAUUAUAUUGGUGGAUUAGGACAUCUAUAGUCCCAGGAAUAUAAAAUUUACCUGACUCUUUGUAACUAUUAGGGGUGGGUAAACGGGCUCAGGUCCAUGUAUUGACCCACGGGGCCCGCGGUCUAUGAUUAUGUCAUAUUUUUUGGCCCACCUCGCUUAACCCGUGGACUAUGCGGGUUUGGCCUGCGGGGUCCGCGGGUUGUCCGUAGCCCGCAUUAGGUUUAAUUUGUGUGAUCCUGACCCAAUUAUAUUAGGUUUGAUUUUCUCUUUUUCAAUUUAAACUUUUCUUUUAAAAUAACAGAUAAAGAAAUAUAUUAGAUAUGAUAAAGAUAUAAAGAUAAAAAUAAAAGAUUUAAAUUGAAAGAUGAUAAAGAUAAAAAAAGGAUAAGAUAACAAAAAUAAAAGAUUAAGAUAAAAAAGAUAAGUGAUAACUUGCUAAAAAUCUUUUUUUUAUAUUUUAUCAAUCUUUUUCUCUUUUAAUCUAUCAUUUUCAUAUCUGAAAGUCAUAAAUAAUAAAAAUAUCAAUUCUUAUCAUUUAAGCCAAAAAUAAUUGUUAAAUAAAUAUUUUUAAAGAUAUUUCAAUAUAUGUUUAUUGUAAAAAAUAACUCAUAUCAUAUUUAGUAGUUGUAGCAGGCUAAAAACAUUUUUUCUCCUCACGUGUGCUUAACAAAUAUCGAACUAGGCUUCUUGUUGACAACAUACAAGCCUUGAUAUAUACUAAAAAUUGGUUACUAGUAUUUGAUAUGCAGGGUAAAUAAUAUGUAAUAAUUAUUGUCUUUUAAUCACUUAGCUUGACUUUAUUCUAAUAUUUUAUUAUUUUGAGUUUUAGGAAAAGAAGAUGAAGAUAUGGAGAUGGAGAAGGCUCAAGCUACUUCAAAUAUGAAAUCAUUUGUUGUUGGAGAUGUUUAAAUUUCAUAUUUUAGAUUUAUUGCUUCGAUUUCUUUGUUAAGACAUUAUUUAUUUUAUUGAUAUAAUUGACUAAUUAUUGAGAUUUUAUUUAUCUUUGUAUUGAACUUAAUUUGAUUGUAUUAUAUUUUUAUUAAAAUUAAAAUUCUUUUAAAAUUAGGCUCGCGGACUGGCUCGUUUGACCCGCGGGAUCCGUGGGGCGGGGGCGGACCAAUUUAUUUCGUCUGUGUAAGAAGCGGGGCGGAUUGGCCCGAUCCGCUACCAAUGCGGGCUCAUGCGGACGGGCCUUACACGGGGCAUGCCGGUCCGCUUACCCACCCCUAGUAACUAUGCACGUGAUCUAUCUAAUGAAUUCCACCUCCUUUUUAUACAUCAUACACAUGCAAUGUUAAUCACUAUAAUAUAAAACAAUUUAAUUAUAUAUUAUUAUUACUAUGAUUUUUUUAAGAUAGUUAUAUUCAAUAUUUAUAUAAUUAUUAUAUAGGAUGGAUAAUGAUUUAAUAAUAUUAUAAAAUUAUUUUACAUUUGUUUGUGUAUAAUCUUGUUUUCUACAAAUAAAUAAAAAUAAUAAUAAAAUAAAACAUUAAUAUACCAUAAAAAAUAAAUAUUAAAAAAGAAAUGUAAAUAAUCAAUUAAAAUAUAUAAAUUUUAUAACAAUUUAUUCAUAUUUAAGUAAUUUUUAAAAUAUGUAUAUAAAUUAUUUUUCAAAUAAAUAUAUUAUUAAUAUACAUAAUUCAAACUAUGAAAAAUAUAUUAUUGAAAUAUUUAAAACACCAAAUACAUUUUAAAAAUUUGAUUUAAAUAAUAUUAAAAUUAAAACAUAACAAUCCCAGAAAAUAUUUUUAUAAAUCAGUAUUUUGUUGGAGAUAAGAAAAUACACUUUCGUUUUUAAUUCUAAAUAUUUUAUAAUGUAUUGUUGUUUUUCCAUACUGUAAUAUAUAAAAAAGAUGUAUAAUCUAUUUAAGUUUUAGUAUUUUAUACUGAAUUUCAAUUUGUUAGUUCUUUACAUAUUAAUUUUAUUUUUCAAAUUUUGUAGUAUCAUAUAUUACCUUUUUAAUAUUUGAAAGACUUGUAAUAUCAAAUAAAAUAAUAUUGCAAUUAAUGUAUAUAUUAACAUAUAAAAAUGUAUAGCAUAGAUAAAAAAAAAAAAAAAAUCAAACAUGAUCGACAAUGAAAGUUUAAAUAUUGAACAAGUUGUAUGAUGUCUUCUCGGGUACACCACUCUACUUCUCUAAGUGGUGCAUUGAUUUACUAGAUAAUUUUUUUUAAGGAAUCCAUUAAAUAUAUUUUUCUCCAAUCAUGAUAUUAUUACAAAGUUGUUUUUACGUGGUGAUUGAUUUUCAAGAUGGUGAGCACAUACAAGAUAAUUUUGAGGAUCCAAAGCACCUACAAAAUAGCUGAUAAGGUUUUAAGUUAUACUACAUACAAUUUGGUUAAAUUUUCUUAUAUUGUAAAAAAAUUAUAGAUAAAAGUGGUCACAAUUAUUGUCACCCCUACUGGAGAAAGAAGAUUCUAAAUCAAUUAUUUGGAGCGUUCUACAUAGUGGCCAAAAUCAUGAUCACCAACUAUUUUUUAAAACCUAGCUACAGAGGAUAAAGUCGUUGCUUAAACAUCAUCUCGCCUAUAAAUAGACCCAAAUAAUUUGAGGUUCCAUACUUCAAAAUCCAAAUCUAGCGAUUAAUUAUAGUUUAGGCAGCAAAUUAUGGAAUCCCAUGAUGAGGAGCAUGCUGCCAAACUACUUAGAGCUCAAACCCACAUAUGGAAUCACAUAUUUAGCUUCAUAAACUCCAUGUCCCUUAAAUGUGUGGUUGACUUAGGCAUACCAGAUAUCAUACACAACUAUGGCCAACCCAUGCCACUCUCAAACCUCAUUGCUUCACUACCAAUCCACCCAUCCAAAACUUGCUUCGUCCAUUGCUUGAUGCGAAUCAUGAUCCAUUCUGGCUUCUUCUCUCAACAAAACCAU
rnacentral:lncRNA from 1 species